rnacentral:rRNA from 1 species
ACGAACGCUGGCGGCGUGCCUAAUACAUGCACGUUGAGCGCUGAAGGUUGGUACUUGUCCCGACUGGAUGAGCAGCGAACGGGUGAGUAACGCGUGGGGAAUCUGCCUUUGAGCGGGGGACAACAUUUGGAAACGAAUGCUAAUACCGCAUAAAAACUUUAAACACAAGUUUUAAGUUUGAAAGAUGCAAUUGCAUCACUCAAAGAUGAUCCCGCGUUGUAUUAGCUAGUUGGUGAGGUAAAGGCUCACCAAGGCGAUGAUACAUAGCCGACCUGAGAGGGUGAUCGGCCACAUUGGGACUGAGACACGGCCCAAACUCCUACGGGAGGCAGCAGUAGGGAAUCUUCGGCAAUGGACGAAAGUCUGACCGAGCAACGCCGCGGGAGUGAAGAAGGUUUUCGGAUCGUAAAACUCUGUUGGUAGAGAAGAACGUUGGUGAGAGUGGAAAGCUCAUCAAGUGACGGUAACUACCCAGAAAGGGACGGCUAACUACGUG